rnacentral:lncRNA from 1 species
GGUGUCAGGGUGUCCUGGUGACAAGGCUUUGGGGUGUCAGGGCAUCGGGGUGACAAGGCAUCGGGGUGACGUCACGCUGUACCCACCGUCAGGAAGGGGUGCCGGGUGUUCUGCAGCACGCGGCUCUCGGUGACGGUGUGAGCGACCUCGUCCUGCAGCAUGGGGAGAUCGGGGUCAGCACUGCGGGUACAACAGCCCCACAACCCCACAGCUUAUAGGGCACCACGGCGGCCCCACAGCCCCGCUGCUUAUGGGGCACUGGGGAUGUGGGAUACGCACAGCCAUAAUUCGGGGUGGUUUCGGGGUUCCCAACGCAUCCCCAUCCCAUUAAAUGAGGAAACGGGCCGCACACCCUCGUUUUGGGGCAAAUUUGGGGUUCCCAACACAUCCCAACCCCAUCAGAUGUGGAUGUAGGACACAAACAUCCACAUUUUGAGGCAGAUUGGGGCAGUUUUGGGGUUCCCAACGCAUCCCAGCCCACUGGAUGAGGACAUGGGACACAAACACCCACAUUUUGAGGCAGAUUUGGGGUUCCCAACACAUCCCAACCCCAUCAGACGUGGACGUGGGACACAGACACCAAGAUUUUGGGGCAGUUUUGGGGUUCCCAACACAUCCCAACCCGAGCAGCCAUGUAUGUGGGACACAAACACCCACAUUUUGGGGCUGAUUGGGGCAGAUUCACGAUUCCCAACGCAUCCCAACCCCAUCAGACAUGGAUGUGGGACACAGACACCCACAUUUUGGGGCAGAUUGGGGCAGUUUUGGGGUUCUCAACGCAUCCCAACCCCAUCAGAUGAGGACAUGGGACACAAACACCCACAUUUUGGGGCAGAUUCAGGGUUCCCAACGCAUCCCAGCCCACCGGAUGAGGACAUGGGACACAAACACCCACAUUUUGAGGCAGUUUUGGGGUUCCCAACGCAUCCCAACCCCAUCAGAAAUGGAUGUGGGACACAAACACCCACAUUUUGGGGCUGAUUGGGGCAAAUUCUGGGUUCCCAACACAUCCCAACCCCAUCGGAUGAGGACAUGGGACACAAACACCCACAUUUUGGGGCAGAUUCAGGAUUCCCAACGCAUCCCAACCCCAUCAGACGUGGAUGUGGGACACAGACACCAAGAUUUUGGGGCAGUUUCAGGGUUCCCAACGCAUCCCAGCCCACCGGAUGAGGACAUGGGACACAAACACCCACAUUUUGAGGCAGAUUUGGGGUUCCCAACACAUCCCAACCCCAUCAGAUGUGGAUGUAGGACACAAACAUCCACAUUUUGGGACAAAUCCGGGAUUCCCAACGCAUCCCAACCCCAUCAGAUGAGAACAUGGGACACAAACACCCACGUUUUGGGGCAGAUUCAGGAUUCCCAACGCAUCCCAACCCCAUCAGACGAAGACAUGGGACACAAAC